GAUGAACGCUAGCUACAGGCUUAACACAUGCAAGUCGAGGGGAAACGGCAUUGAGUGCUUGCACUCUUUGGACGUCGACCGGCGCACGGGUGAGUAACGCGUAUCCAACCUUCCCAUUACUGUGGGAUAACCUGCCGAAAGGCAGACUAAUACCGCAUAGUCUUCGAUGACGGCAUCAGAUUUGAAGUAAAGAUUUAUCGGUAAUGGAUGGGGAUGCGUCUGAUUAGCUUGUUGGUGGGGUAACGGCCCACCAAGGCAACGAUCAGUAGGGGUUCUGAGAGGAAGGUCCCCCACAUUGGAACUGAGACACGGUCCAAACUCCUACGGGAGGCAGCAGUGAGGAAUAUUGGUCAAUGGACGGAAGUCUGAACCAGCCAAGUAGCGUGCAGGAUGACGGCCCUAUGGGUUGUAAACUGCUUUUGUAUGGGGAUAAAGUUAGGGACGUGUCCCUAUUUGCAGGUACCAUACGAAUAAGGACCGGCUAAUUCCGUGCCAGCAGCCGCGGUAAUACGGAAGGUCCAGGCGUUAUCCGGAUUUAUUGGGUUUAAAGGGAGCGUAGGCUGGAGAUUAAGUGUGUUGUGAAAUGUAGACGCUCAACGUCUGAAUUGCAGCGCAUACUGGUUUCCUUGAGUACGCACAACGUUGGCGGAAUUCGUCGUGUAGCGGUGAAAUGCUUAGAUAUGACGAGGAACUCCGAUUGCGAAGGCAGCUGACGGGAGCGCAACUGACGCUUAAGCUCGAAGGUGCGGGUAUCAAACAGG
rnacentral:rRNA from 1 species